GAUGAACGCUGGCGGCGUGCCUAAUACAUGCGAGUCGAGCGAACAGACGAUUAGCUUUCCCCUCUGACCUUACCGGCGAAUGGGUGAGUAACACGUGGAUAACCUACCUAUAAGACUGGGCUAAAUUCGGGAAACCGGAGCUAAAACCGGAAAAUAUAUUGAACCGCAUGGUUCAAUAGUGAAAGACGGUUUUGCUGUCACUUAUAGAUCGAUCCGCUCCGCAUUAGCUGGUCGGUAAGGUAACGGCUUACCAAGGCGACGAUGCGUAGCCGAACUGAGAGGGGGGUCGGCCGCACUGGAGCUGAGACACGGUCCAGACGCCUACGGGAGGCAGCAGUAGGGAAUCGGCCGCAAUGGGCGAAAGCCUUGCGGAGCAACGCCGCGUGAGUGAUGAAGGUCUUCGGAUCGUAAAACUCUGUUAUGAGGGAAGAACAAAUGUGUAAGUAACUAUGCACGUCUUGACGGUACCUAAUCAGAAAGCGACGGCUAACUACGUG
rnacentral:rRNA from 1 species